ACAGCAGUCGCCGCGGGAAUACGAAGGGUGCAAGCGUUACUCGGAAUUACUGGGCGUAAAGCGUGCGUAGGUGGUGGUUUAAGUCCGUUGUGAAAGCCCUGGGCUCAACCUGGGAAUUGCAGUGGAUACUGGGUCACUAGAGUGUGGUAGAGGAUAGUGGAAUUUCCGGUGUAGCAGUGAAAUGCGUAGAGAUCGGAAGGAACAUCUGUGGCGAAGGCGACUAUCUGGGCCAACACUGACACUGAGGCACGAAAGCGUGGGGAGCAAACAGGAUUAGAUACCCGCGUAGUCCCUGUCUCUUAUAC
rnacentral:rRNA from 1 species